rnacentral:rRNA from 1 species
AAUCAAACUUGGAGAUAGCUCGUACUCCCCGAAAUGCAUUUAGGUGCAGCCUUGACCAUUACUAAUGUGAGGUAGAGCGACUGAUAAGAUGCGAGGGCUUCACCGCCUAUCAAGUCUUGACAAACUCCGAAUGCGCAUCAGUUCUACCGCAGGAGUGAGGGCAUGGGUGCUAAGGUCCGUGCCCGAGAGGAGAAGAAUCCGGACCACCUGCUAAGGUCCCGAAAUGACAGCUAAGUUAAACUAACGAAGUCAGAUUGCUAAGACAGCUAGGAUGUUGGCUUGGAAGCAGCCAUUCAUUUAAAGAGUGCGUAACAGCUCACUAGUCGAGGAGUCGGGCGUGGAUAAUAAUCGGGUAUUAAGUUGUCUACCGAAGCAGUGGGAUCAUUUAUAUGAUCGGUAGGGGAGCAUUCCAGUCGGCGUCGAAGGCGUACCGUGAGGUAUUCUGGAGCGUCUGGAAAAGCAAAUGUAGGUAUAAGUAACGAUAAAGGGGGCGGGAAACCCCCUCGCCGAAAGACUAAGGUUUCCUGAUCAACGCUAAUCGGAUCAGGGUCAGUCGGGUCCUAAGGCUCAGCCGAACGGCGAUGCCGAUGGCAGAAACGGUUAAUAUUCCGUUACUACCUUCAGGAGUGACGUGGAGACGCAGUAGUGACAGUGCCGCCAUCUGACGGAAUAGAUGGUUGAAGGGUGUAGGAGUCGAUCAUGGCAGGCAAAUCCACCAUGAGAUCCGAACCUGAUAGUAUGCCGCGUCCUUCGGGACAAGGCAAUAGUGCGCGUAAGCAUGCUGCCGAGAAAAUCCGCUAAACUUAAUCCUGCAGGUACCCGUACCGCAAACGGACACACGUAGUCGGGUUGAAUAUACUAAGGCGCUUGAGUGAUUCACGGUUAAGGAACUAGGCAAACUGACCCUGUAACUUCGGGAUAAAGGGUCCCUACCCUUUUAUGGGAGGGCGCAGAGAAUCGGUCCAGGCAACUGUUUAACAAAAACACAGGGCUGUGCGAAGUCGAAAGACGCUGUAUACAGCCUGACACCUGCCCGGUGCUGGAAGGUUAAGAGGAGAUGUCAUCGCAAGAGAAGCAUUGAAUUGAAGCCCCAGUAAACGGCGGCCGUAACUAUAACGGUCCUAAGGUAGCGAAAUUCCUUGUCGGGUAAGUUCCGACCUGCACGAAUGGUGUAAUGAUCUGGACACUGUCUCAACCGUGAGCUCAGUGAAAUUGUAGUAUCGGUGAAGAUGCCGAUUACCCGCGAUGGGACGAAAAGACCCCGUGAACCUUUACUAUAGCUUAUCAUUGAAUCUGGGCACGUGAUGUGUAGGAUAGGUCGGAGGCUUUGAAGCAGGCACGCCAGUGUUUGUGGAGCCGCUGUUGAAAUACGACCCUUCAUUUGUUUGAGUUCUAACUCGUGUUACGAGGACACUGAUUGGUGGGUAGUUUGACUGGGGUGGUCGCCUCCAAAAGUGUAACGGAGGCUUCUAAAGGUGCCCUCAGACCGAUUGGUAACCGGUCUCAGAGUGUAAUGGCAUAAGGGCGCUUGACUGGGAGACUAACAAGUCGAGCAGGUAGGAAACUAGAGCAUAGUGAUCCGGUGUUUCCGCAUGGAAGGGACAUCGCUCAAAGGAUAAAAGGUACUCCGGGGAUAACAGGCUGAUCCCUCCCAAGAGCUCAUAUCGACGGAGUGGUUUGGCACCUCGAUGUCGGCUCGUCACAUCCUGGGGCUGGAGAAGGUCCCAAGGGUUGGGCUGUUCGCCCAUUAAAGUGGCACGCGAGCUGGGUUCAGAACGUCGUGAGACAGUUCGGUCUCUAUCUAUCGUGGGCGUAUGAAAUUUGCGUGGCUCUGACACUAGUACGAGAGGACCGUGUUGGACAGACCUCUGGUUUGCCGGUUGUGCCGCCAGGUGCAUUGCCGGGUAUCUAAGUCUGGAUCGGAUAAGUGCUGAAAGCAUCUAAGUACGAAGCCGGCCACAAGAUUAGAUUUCUCAGGGUCGUUGU